rnacentral:rRNA from 1 species
CCUACAUGAAGCUGGAGUUACUAGUAAUCGCAGAUCAGAAUGCUGCGGUGAAUGCGUUCCCGGGUCUUGUACACACCGCCCGUCACACCACGGAAGUUGGGGGCGCCCGAAGCCACUUAGCUAACCCUUUUGGGAAGCGAGUGUCGAAGGUGAAAUCAAUAACUGGGGUGAAGUCGUAACAAGGUACC